rnacentral:lncRNA from 1 species
UCGGCUCCAACCUUCCACAACGCUGCAAGCUUUUCGGGCUAGAACAAACAGGCGUUACUUCGUCUGUUUGGCCCCGGAUCACCGCGCCGCAUCCUGCCGCGACCCCGUCAGGUGCUACCUCUGCCUCCGCCACGGUCACCGCGCCAAGCUCUGCCCCACUUGCUGUCGCCUCAGCACAAGGCCAUCUGUGUAGCGCCCUCCCCGUCGCGCGGAGUUCGCCGGGGAGCAGGAUCGACGUGCCCC